rnacentral:rRNA from 1 species
UACGGAGGGUGCUAGCGUUGUUCGGAAUCACUGGGCGUAAAGCGUGUGUAGGCGGAUCGUUAAGUGUCUUGUGAAAUCCCACGGCUCACCCGUGGAACUGCUGGGCAUACUGGCGAUCUUGGGCCAACUAGGGGCAGUCGGAACAAGCGGUGGAGCGGUGAAAUGCGUAGAUAUCGCUUGGAACGCCGAAGGUGAAAACAGACUGCUGGGGUUGCGCCGACGCUGAGACACGAAAGCCAGGGGAGCAAACGGG